rnacentral:rRNA from 1 species
AGUGAACGCUGGCGGUAGGCCUAACACAUGCAAGUCGAACGGCAGCACAGUAAGAGCUUGCUCUUACGGGUGGCGAGUGGCGGACGGGUGAGGAAUACAUCGGAAUCUACUUUUUCGUGGGGGAUAACGUAGGGAAACUUACGCUAAUACCGCAUACGACCUACGGGUGAAAGCAGGGGAUCUUCGGACCUUGCGCGAUUGAAUGAGCCGAUGUCGGAUUAGCUAGUUGGCGGGGUAAAGGCCCACCAAGGCGACGAUCCGUAGCUGGUCUGAGAGGAUGAUCAGCCACACUGGAACUGAGACACGGUUCAGACUCCUACGGGAGGCAGAAGUGGGGAAUAUUGGACAAUGGGCGCAAGCCUGAUCCAGCCAUACCGCGUGGGUGAAGAAGGCCUUCGGGUUGUAAAGCCCUUUUGUUGGGAAAGAAAAGCAGCAGGUUAAUACCCCGCUGUUCUGACGGUACCCAAAGAAUAAGCACCGGCUAACUUCG